AUAUAUAUAUAUAUAUUCAUUGUUUACAAAAUUAUAUUGUACAAAAACCAUAAUAGAGCGGCUAACAAAAUGAAAUCAGAGUUUCUGCUCGGCCACAAAAAUGGCUCGGAGCAUGGCAUAUGAACAAAUCUCUGACUGGCCGCUCUUGGCUAGGUCAACUUCUAAACAUGUACAUCAUUACCUGCAUCAUAAGAACCUAAUGAGCUAAUGGCUCAGCAAGUUGAAACUGAUGUAAUAGCAAUAUAUCACAUAACACGUUAUUCAUUCAAUAAGUACAAUAUCACAUAUAACUUCAUUCAUGAUCCUUUUCUUUGAAAUCCUUCUCUUUUUCGGGUACCCUUGAAGUGUGGUACUUGACUGAUAGUAAUAGGCUUUGGUUUUCGGAACCUGUUCAUCAUAAUUGGCCAAUAGAUAAUACGGGGUUUCCAUAUCGGCCUUUCGACCUCAGGUAUUAGCCGUAUUUUAUUUCAUGAAUUGUGGGUUUUCCAUACUGGUCUUUCGACCUCAGGUAUUUGCCACCAUGUGUUGGGUCCGCCGGUCCCUCCCGCGUCCCUUGCCUACCCGACCAUCAAUCAAGUACCAUACCCCCAUUUUGAAAACAUAUUCUUUCAUAUCGUUAUGAAUCAUCAAUCAUUCAAACAUCAUGAAGAACACGUAGCAAAAGUCACAUUAAAGCACACAUAAUUAGGUUCUUAUGAUGAGCAAAUGAAAGCUUCAACUUACCUCAAAAUCAAUAUGGUUUAUGAAGUGAAAGGAUCAGUCUUAGAUAAGGUGUGCUAGAAGCCUUGAUUAGAGAUGAAUUCAAACUUCAAAACAUAGGAUUUUCAGCUAGAAAAGGUGAAGAACUUGUUCUAGCUAUACUUCUAUGAGUUCUUAGGGUUUGAUAUUCUCUUAUGUGAAUAUGGAAGUGAAGAAAUAAG
rnacentral:lncRNA from 1 species